rnacentral:piRNA from 1 species
UGGAGAUAAACAUUAGUUAACAUGUCACACU